GGCUUGGUAGCUCAGCUGGAUAGAGCACUCGCCUUCUAAGCGAGUUGUCGCGGGUUCGAAUCCCGCCCGAGUCA
rnacentral:tRNA from 1 species